rnacentral:rRNA from 1 species
GUGAGGAAUUUUCCGCAAUGGGCGAAAGCCUGACGGAGCAAUGCCGCGUGAAGGAUGAAGGCCUAUGGGUUGUAAACUUCUUUUCCCAGAAAAGAAUUAUGACGGUAUCUGAGGAAUAAGCAUCGGCUAACUCUGUGCCAGCAGCCGCGGUAAGACAGAGGAUGCAAGCGUUAUCCGGAAUGAUUGGGCGUAAAGCGUCUGUAGGUUGUUUAAAAAGUAUUCUGUCAAAGAUUAGGGCUUAACCCUAGAUAGGCAGAAUAAACUUUUAAGCUAGAGUUUGGUAGAGGCAGAGGGAAUUCCCGGUGGAGCGGUGAAAUGCGUAGAUAUCGGGAGGAACACCAAAGGCGAAGGCACUCUGCUGGGCCAAUACUAACACUGAGAGACGAAAGCGAGGGGAGCAAAUGGGAUUAGAUACCCGAGUAGUCC